CCUGAUGGCUCAGACAAUGAAGAAUCUGCCUGCAAUGCAGGAGACCCAGGUUCAAUUCCUGGGUCAGGA
rnacentral:tRNA from 1 species